rnacentral:rRNA from 1 species
CCUACGGGAGGCAGCAGUGAGGAAUAUUGGACAAUGGGCGCAAGCCUGAUCCAGCCAUGCCGCGUGCAGGAAGAAGCAUCUAUGGUGUGUAAACUGCUUUUGUACAGGAAGAAACACUCCCUCGUGAGGGAGCUUGACGGUACUGUAAGAAUAAGGACCGGCUAACUCCGUGCCAGCAGCCGCGGUAAUACGGAGGGUCCGAGCGUUAUCCGGAAUCAUUGGGGUUUAAAGGGUCCGUAGGCGGUUUAAUAAGUCAGUGGUGAAAUCUGGUCGCUCAACGAUCAAACGGCCAUUGAUACUGUUAGACUUGAAUUAUAAGGAAGUAACUAGAAUAUGUAGUGUAGCGGUGAAAUGCUUAGAUAUUACAUGGAAUACCAAUUGCGAAGGCAGGUUACUACUUAUGGAUUGACGCUGAUGGACGAAAGCGUGGGGAGCGAACAGGAUUAGAUACCCUGGUAGUCCACGCCGUAAACGAUGGAUACUAGCUGUUCGGAGCAAUCUGAGUGGCUAAGCGAAAGUGAGUAAGUAUCCCACCUGGGGAGUACGGUUCGCGAAGAAUUGAAACUUCAAAGGAAUUGACGG